rnacentral:rRNA from 1 species
AAGGGGGCACUAGGUGUGGGAGACAUUACAUGUUGUCCGUGCCGCAGCUAACGCAUUAAGUGCCCCGCUUGGGGAGUACGGCCGCAAGGAUAAAACUCAAGGGAAUUGACGGGGGCCCGCACAAGCGGCGGAGCAUGUGGUAUAAUUAGACGCAACGAGAAGAACCUUACCAAGGCUAGACAUACACGGGAAAUGUCUGGAGACAGGCGCCCCCUUGUGGUCGGUGUACAGGUGGUGCAUGGCUGUUGUCAGCUCGUGUCGUGAGAUGUUGGGUUAAGUCCCGCAACGAGCGCAACCCUUGUCCCGUGUUGCCAGCAAGCCCUUCGGGGUGUUGGGGACUCACGGGAGACCGCCGGGGUCAACUCGGAGGAAGGUGGGGACGACGUCAAGUCAUCAUGCCCCUUAUGUCUUGGGCUGCACACGUGCUACAAUGGCCGGUACAAUGAGCUGCGAUACCGCGAGGUGGAGCGAAUCUCAAAAAGCCGGUCUCAGUUCGGAUUGGGGUCUGCAACUCGACCCCAUGAAGUCGGAGUCGCUAGUAAUCGCAGAUCAGCAUUGCUGCGGUGAAUACGUUCCCGGGCCUUGUACACACCGCCCGUC